GACAGAGGGUGCAAACGUUGUUCGGAAUUACUGGGCGUAAAGCGCGUGUAGGCGGCGGUGCAAGUCGGGUGUGAGAGCCCUGGGCUCAACCCAGGAAGUGCAUUCGAUACUGCGCUGCUAGAGUCCCGGAGAGGAUGGUGGAACUCUCGGUGUAGAGGUGAAAUUCGUAGAUAUCGAGAAGAACACCGGUGGCGAAGGCGGCCAUCUGGACGGUGACUGACGCUGAGACGCGAAAGCGUGGGGAGCAAACAGG
rnacentral:rRNA from 1 species